CGGGCCAGACCAGCUCGUGGUGGGGUCGCGCCGGGAAAGCUCGUGGAAGGGCACGCCGGCGUGGUUGCCCAGAUCCGUCGACGCGGGGUCGGGAGGGGCAGCACAAUGGGCGCAAGACGACCAGGGCGACGUUGGAGGUUGGCGGUCGGGGCGGGAGGGAGAAGGUGGGGGGAGGAGAGGGUCGGCCAUGGAGGGAAGGGAAGCGGGCCCGCACGGCCGUCGUGCUGCUGCUGGUGGUGGAACGCGGUGGCCGCGACCCAGAGCAGCGGCGCGCAGAGGAAGGCAGGGGCGAUGGGGGAGCUGCGGAUCGGGAGUCGCCGGGGAGAGGAUGCGGCGGCGCAGGGGAUGUGGCGGUUUGGGGCGCCGGCGCGAGGGAGGUUGCG
rnacentral:rRNA from 1 species